GGGGUUGUGGCUCAGUGGUAGAGCACUUGCCUAGCAUGUGUGAGGCACUAGGUUCAAUCCUCAGCACCA
rnacentral:tRNA from 1 species